GCAUAUCAAUAAGCGGAGGAAAAGAAACCAACAGGGAUUGCCCCAGUAACGGCGAAGUGAAGCGGCAAGAGCUCAAAUUUGAAAGCUGGCUCCUUCGGGGUCCGCAUUGUAAUUUGCAGAGGAUGUUUCGGGAGUGGCCCCCAUCUAAGUGUCCUGGAACGGACCGUCAUAGAGGGUGAGAAUCCCGUAUGGGAUGGGGUGCCCACGCCCGUGUGAAACUCCUUCGACGAGUCGAGUUGUUUGGGAAUGCAGCUCUAAAUGGGUGGUAAAUUUCAUCUAAAGCUAAAUAUUGGCCGGAGACCGAUAGCGCACAAGUAGAGUGAUCGAAAGAUGAAAAGCACUUUGAAAAGAGAGUUAAAAAGCACGUGAAAUUGUUGAAAGGGAAGCGUUUGCGAUCAGACUCGCCGACGGGGUUCAGCCUGCCUUCGGGCAGGUGUACUUCCCCGCCGGCGGGCCAGCGUCGGUUUGGGUGGCCGGUCAAAGGCCCUAGGAAUGUAACGCCUCUCGGGGCGUCUUAUAGCCUAGGGUGUCAUGCGGCCUACCCGGACCGAGGAACGCGCUUCGGCUCGGACGCUGGCAUAAUGGUCGUAAACGACCCGUCUUGAAACACGGACCAAGGAGUCUAACAUCUAUGCGAGUGUUCGGGUGUCAAACCCGUGCGCGAAGUGAAAGCGAACGGAGGUGGGAACCCUUUGGGUGCACCAUCGACCGAUCCUGAUGUCUUCGGAUGGAUUUGAGUAAGAGCAUAGCUGUUGGGACCCGAAAGAUGGUGAACUAUGCCUGAAUAGGGCGAAGCCAGAGGAAACUCUGGUGGAGGCUCGCAGCGGUUCCUGACGUGCAAAUCGAUCGUCAAAUUUGGGUAUAGGGGCGAAAGACUAAUCGAACCAUCUAGUAGCUGGUUCUGC
rnacentral:rRNA from 1 species